GGGUUGUGAGGUUAAGCGACUAAGCGUACACGGUGGAUGCCCUGGCAGUCAGAGGCGAUGAAGGACGUGCUAAUCUGCGAAAAGCGUCGGUAAGGUGAUAUGAACCGUUACAGCCGGCGAUGUCCGAAUGGGGAAACCCAGUGCAAUUCGUUGCACUAUCGUUAACUGAAUACAUAGGUUAACGAGGCGAACCGGGGGAACUGAAACAUCUAAGUACCCCGAGGAAAAGAAAUCAACCGAGAUUCCCCCAGUAGCGGCGAGCGAACGGGGAGCAGCCCAGAGUCUGAAUCAGCUUGUGUGUUAGUGGAACGGUCUGGAAAGUCCGACGGUACAGGGUGAUAGUCCCGUACACCAAAAUGCACAGGCUGUGAACUCGAAGAGUAGGGCGGGACACGUGGUAUCCUGUCUGAAUAUGGGGGGACCAUCCUCCAAGGCUAAAUACUCCUGACUGACCGAUAGUGAACCAGUACCGUGAGGGAAAGGCGAAAAGAACCCCGGCGAGGGGAGUGAAAAAGAACCUGAAACCGUGUACGUACAAGCAGUGGGAGCACCUUCGGGUGUGACUGCGUACCUUUUGUAUAAUGGGUCAGCGACUUAUAUUCUGUAGCAAGGUUAACCGUAUAGGGGAGCCGCAGGGAAACCGAGUCUUAACUGGGCGUUAAGUUGCAGGGUAUAGACCCGAAACCCGGUGAUCUAGCCAUGGGCAGGUUGAAGGUUGGGUAACACUAACUGGAGGACCGAACCGACUAAUGUUGAAAAAUUAGCGGAUGACUUGUGGCUGGGGGUGAAAGGCCAAUCAAACCGGGAGAUAGCUGGUUCUCCCCGAAAGCUAUUUAGGUAGCGCCUCGUGAAUUCAUCUUCGGGGGUAGAGCACUGUUUCGGCUAGGGGGUCAUCCCGACUUACCAACCCGAUGCAAACUACGAAUACCGAAGAAUGUUAUCACGGGAGACACACGGCGGGUGCUAACGUCCGUCGUGAAGAGGGAAACAACCCAGACCGCCAGCUAAGGUCCCAAAGUCACAGUUAAGUGGGAAACGAUGUGGGAAGGCACAGACAGCCAGGAUGUUGGCUUAGAAGCAGCCAUCAUUUAAAGAAAGCGUAAUAGCUCACUGGUCGAGUCGGCCUGCGCGGAAGAUGUAACGGGGCUAAACUGUGCACCGAAGCUGCGGCAGCGACACU
rnacentral:rRNA from 1 species